ACAAAUAAAUAAAUAAUUUUAUUCAUAGAGAAAAACAUUUGAGUCUGAAAAAAUAAAAAAAUAAUUUUAUUUAUAAAUCAUUUUUUUUCGUUUCAAGAUGAUGCUAAUUAGAAGACGUUGUACGAGUUUAUUGCUUAUUUUUCUUGCAAUUGUCGUUGAUCAACUUCAGAUACCUUUGGUAACAUGUCAAGAAGAAGAGGACACGCAGUGCUUGCCGCGGAAAACGUUUCUGGCGUUCCUUCGACUACCGGAAGUUAGCUCGAACUUGGCAGCAUAUUCUCGAUCCGCGCGCAUAAUACAGGAUGGGAGAAACGACUUUAUGUAUUUGAAAGCUCUGAGCACAGAGGACAUGAGCGACGACACUAAAAUAUGUUUGCCAGCGGAAGUUUACUUUGAAAUAUUCAGUGAUCCGACAAUGCGUGCUCACUUGAGUGUAAUCGAGCGGGCACAGAGAAUGGUCGAGGACCUGGAACACGAUUAUACUAGUUUUGAAGCUGAGAAGAGGAGUAUUGCAACUCUCGCCAAGAAUGACGACUUGCCCGCUUCUAUUCAGGAACGUUAUCAAGGCGACGAUCUCGAUGAUGAUGAAAAACGGAGUCAGUCUAGUAUGACUGCAGAAGAAAUAUUAAAAAUGUACGCCGGACACACACCUGAAGAAUUGGGAAAAAGCGCAGAAUCGAUAAUAACCGCCUACACCCUCCCGAGUGGAGAAAUAGACAUCGAAUCGCUAUCACGUGAUUUCCACAACGCAAAACGUAACGUCGGAGCUCUGGCUCGUGACUAUGCAUUGCCGUCAGGGCGAAGGAACAGAGCAUCCUCAGAUUCAGACUCCCAGGAGUCAUCUUCAAACAGCAACAAACGUAACAUCGCGAUGCUCGCACGGGACAGAUUGCUCCCGAAGGGCAACAAGCGGAAUAUCGGUUCACUGGGACGCGUGUACAUAGUACCUUCUUAUCAAGGGAAAAGGAACAUCGGGGCCCUCGCUCGCGACUCAAUGCUGCCUAUGGGGAAACGGUAUCUCGGCGCACUCGUUAAAUCAGGCGGCUACCCUUACAUCUACAACAAGAGAAAUAUUGCUUCGUUAGCUAAAAACGGGCUGUAUAAUUACGUUAAACGCAACAUUGGAACCUUGGCCCGCGACUGGAACUUACCGCAGUCGCGGCACAGCCGUUCUUUGAACGAGAAGGAGUUGGGCGCAGCGCGGAUCGAUUUAGAUAAUUUGCAACGGAUCGACUCGGCAAAACACCCAGAGGAUCAUCAUCAUAAUCAUGAGCUUGAUUUUAAUAAAUUGAGAAAGGGGUCGAAGGUUAACAAAAAUAAGAGUAUUUUGGAGAGCGAACUGGUUGACGCUAAAAAUAAGUCACGCAACAAAAGACAAAUUGAUUAUUCUGAAGAGUAUCCGCUGCCUGUAAUGCAAAACACUAAUGUGUUAGAUUAUGACGAUUUUAUGGAGGCACUUAUCGCUGGGUAUCCGAUUGCUGAAAAAAGAUUUAUGGGAGCAGGUUCUGAGUCUUCCGAGCGGCACGAAAACGGGGAUGACAAUGACGACGGGACAAACGAUGAUAAAUCAAUAAACCAGUCGCUGAUGGGUUAUCAGGACGUGUAUCAACCAAGUAAGAGACAUAUCGGCGCUCUGGCACGUCUCGGGUGGCUACCAUCCUUCAGGGCAGCACGAUUUUCGCGCUCUCCGCGAUAUCUGGUCGGCAGGUCAGACCAGUAGGCUUUCCAUACCGUGUUCGCCCACUUAACCACAUAUUGUCCAGUUGUAACACCACCUAUACAGCAGGAUUCCUCAGAUGGGCCCUCGACCAACAACUCCCCCAACUCGCCGACUCGGUCGUUAGACACGUGGAAAAGACUGAGAACCCGCGACAUGCACUAUCAAAACUACCAGGGUUAUUGUC
rnacentral:misc_RNA from 1 species